rnacentral:rRNA from 1 species
GUUGGGUAGGGGAGCGUUCUGUAAGCCUGUGAAGGUGUGUCGUGAGGCAUGCUGGAGGUAUCAGAAGUGCGAAUGCUGACAUAAGUAACGAUAAAGCGGGUGAAAAGCCCGCUCGCCGGAAGACCAAGGGUUCCUGUCCAACGUUAAUCGGGGCAGGGUGAGUCGACCCCUAAGGCGAGGCCGAAAGGCGUAGUCGAUGGGAAACGGGUUAAUAUUCCCGUACUUGGUGUUACUGCGAAGGGGGGACGGAGAAGGCUAUGUUGGCCGGGCGACGGUUGUCCCGGUUUAAGCGUGUAGGUGUGUGUUCCAGGUAAAUCCGGUUCACUUUAACACUGAGGCGUGAUGACGAGGCACUACGGUGCUGAAGUAACAAAUGCCCUGCUUCCAGGAAAAGCCUCUAAGCAUCAGGUAACAUCAAAUCGUACCCCAAACCGACACAGGUGGUCAGGUAGAGAAUACCAAGGCGCUUGAGAGAACUCGGGUGAAGGAACUAGGCAAAAUGGUGCCGUAACUUCGGGAGAAGGCACGCUGACACGUAGGUGAAGUGAUUUACUCAUGGAGCUGAAGUCAGUCGAAGAUACCAGCUGGCUGCAACUGUUUAUUAAAAACACAGCACUGUGCAAACACGAAAGUGGACGUAUACGGUGUGACGCCUGCCCGGUGCCGGAAGGUUAAUUGAUGGGGUCAGCGCAAGCGAAGCUCCUGAUCGAAGCCCCGGUAAACGGCGGCCGUAACUAUAACGGUCCUAAGGUAGCGAAAUUCCUUGUCGGGUAAGUUCCGACCUGCACGAAUGGCGUAAUGAUGGCCAGGCUGUCUCCACCCGAGACUCAGUGAAAUUGAACUCGCUGUGAAGAUGCAGUGUACCCGCGGCAAGACGGAAAGACCCCGUGAACCUUUACUAUAGCUUGACACUGAACAUUGAGCCUUGAUGUGUAGGAUAGGUGGGAGGCUUUGAAGUGUGGACGCCAGUCUGCAUGGAGCCGACCUUGAAAUACCACCCUUUAAUGUUUGAUGUUCUAACGUGGACCCGUUACCCGGGUUGCGGACAGUGUCUGGUGGGUAGUUUGACUGGGGCGGUCUCCUCCUAAAGAGUAACGGAGGAGCACGAAGGUUGGCUAAUCCUGGUCGGACAUCAGGAGGUUAGUGCAAUGGCAUAAGCCAGCUUGACUGCGAGCGUGACGGCGCGAGCAGGUGCGAAAGCAGGUCAUAGUGAUCCGGUGGUUCUGAAUGGAAGGGCCAUCGCUCAACGGAUAAAAGGUACUCCGGGGAUAACAGGCUGAUACCGCCCAAGAGUUCAUAUCGACGGCGGUGUUUGGCACCUCGAUGUCGGCUCAUCACAUCCUGGGGCUGAAGUAGGUCCCAAGGGUAUGGCUGUUCGCCAUUUAAAGUGGUACGCGAGCUGGGUUUAGAACGUCGUGAGACAGUUCGGUCCCUAUCUGCCGUGGGCGCUGGAGAACUGAGGGGGGCUGCUCCUAGUACGAGAGGACCGGAGUGGACGCAUCACUGGUGUUCGGGUUGUCAUGCCAAUGGCACUGCCCGGUAGCUAAAUGCGGAAGAGAUAAGUGCUGAAAGCAUCUAAGCACGAAACUUGCCCCGAGAUGAGUUCUCCCUGAGACUU